ACUGUUUUCUGCUGAGGAAGGUGACAUUACCAUACGGCCUGGUUGGCUGGCAGGGAGGCAAGCUGAGCUCCACCUGUUUUUAUGACAGCCAAGGCGAGGUGGGGAAGUGACCUCCCUGGUGUCAACCUCCUGAUAAGUCACAGCAUGUGUGGAGUGACAGCCUG